rnacentral:rRNA from 1 species
GAGUUUGAUCAUGGCUCAGAUUGAACGCUGGCGGCAUGCCUUACACAUGCAAGUCGAACGGCAGCAUGAUCUAGCUUGCUAGAUUGAUGGCGAGUGGCGAACGGGUGAGUAAUACAUCGGAACGUGCCCUGUAGUGGGGGAUAACUAGUCGAAAGAUUAGCUAAUACCGCAUACGACCUGAGGGUGAAAGUGGGGGACCGCAAGGCCUCAUGCUAUAGGAGCGGCCGAUGUCUGAUUAGCUAGUUGGUGGGUAAAGGCCCACCAAGGCGACGAUCAGUAGCUGGUCUGAGAGGACGAUCAGCCACACUGGGACUGAGACACGGCCCAGACUCCUACGGGAGGCAGUCAGUGGGGAAUUUUGGACAAUGGGCGAAAGCCUGAUCCAGCAAUGCCGCGUGUGUGAAG